GACGAAGGACCCGAGCGUUAUCCGGAUUCAUUGGGUUUAAAGGGUGCGUAGGCGGAUUGAUAAGUCAGUGGUGAAAGCCUGUUGCUUAACAACAGAACUGCCAUUGAUACUGUUGAUCUUGAAUAUGUUUGAUGUGGGCGGAAUAUGACAUGUAGCGGUGAAAUGCCUAGAUAUGUCAUAGAACACCGAUUGCGAAGGCAGCUCACAAAGCCAUUAUUGACGCUGAGGCACGAAAGCGUGGGGAUCAAACAGG
rnacentral:rRNA from 1 species